rnacentral:rRNA from 1 species
AUUGAACGCUGGCGGCAGGCUUAACACAUGCAAGUCGAGCGGGGAAGGGUAGCUUGCUACCUAACCUAGCGGCGGACGGGUGAGUAAUGCUUAGGAAUCUGCCAUUUAGUGGGGGACAACAUUCCGAAAGGAAUGCUAAUACCGCAUACGUCCUACGGGAGAAAGCAGGGGAUCUUCGGACCUUGCGCUAAAUGAUGAGCCUAAGUCGGAUUAGCUAGUUGGUGGGGUAAAGGCCUACCAAGGCGACGAUCUGUAGCGGGUCUGAGAGGAUGAUCCGCCACACUGGGACUGAGACACGGCCCAGACUCCUACGGGAGGCAGCAGUGGGGAAUAUUGGACAAUGGGCGGAAGCCUGAUCCAGCCAUGCCGCGUGUGUGAAGAAGGCCUUAUGGUUGUAAAGCACUUUAAGCGAGGAGGAGGCUACUUAGAUUAAUACUCUAGGAUAGUGGACGUUACUCGCAGAAUAAGCACCGGCUAACUCUGUGCCAGCCGCCGCGGUAA